rnacentral:rRNA from 1 species
GACGUAGGGCGCGAGCGUUUGUCCGGAUUUAUUGGGGCGUAAAGAGCUCGUAGGCGGCUUGUCGCGUCGGCUGUGAAAUCCCGUGGCUCACUGCGGGCUGCAGCCGAUACGGGCAGGCUAGAGUUCGGUAGGGGAGACUGGAAUUCCUGGUGUAGCGGUGAAAUGCGCAGAUAUCAGGAGGAACACCCGGUGGGCGAAGGC